AGUGAACGCUGGCGGUAGGCCUAACACAUGCAAGUCGAACGGCAGCACAGUAAGAGCUUGCUCUUACGGGUGGCGAGUGGCGGACGGGUGAGGAAUACAUCGGAAUCUACUUUUUCGUGGGGAUAACGUAGGGAAACUUACGCUAAUACCGCAUACGACCUACGGGUGAAAGCAGGGGAUCUUCGGACCUUGCGCGGUUGAAUGAGCCGAUGUCGGAUUAGCUAGUUGGCGGGGUAAAGGCCCACCAAGGCGACGAUCCGUAGCUGGUCUGAGAGGAUGAUCAGCCACACUGGAACUGAGACACGGUCCAGACUCCUACGGGAGGCAGCAGUGGGGAAUAUUGGACAAUGGGCGCAAGCCUGAUCCAGCCAUACCGCGUGGGUGAAGAAGGCCUUCGGGUUGUAAAGCCCUUUUGUUGGGAAAGAAAAGCAGCAGGUUAAUACCCCGCUGUUCUGACGGUACCCAAAGAAUAAGCACCGGCUAACUUCGUG
rnacentral:rRNA from 1 species